rnacentral:antisense_RNA from 1 species
UCCAAUGGGCGGGCGAUGGUGGGAGAGCCGCAAAGCUCGCCGGUCAGUUUGUGUCCCGGUCUUCCAAUCCCGCUACACGCCCGCUCACCCGC